GGAGAGAUGGCUCAAUGGUUAAGAGCACUGACUACUCUCACAGAGAAUCCAGGUUCAAUUCCCAGCCUCUUCU
rnacentral:tRNA from 1 species